AUAUUUGGCACCUUGGGAACUUACUAAAAUGCAGAAUCUAAUUGAGAAGGCCUGGGAUGGAGCCAAGAUUCUGACUUUCUAGUAAGUUCCCAGAUGAUGCUGAU
rnacentral:pre_miRNA from 1 species